rnacentral:rRNA from 1 species
UUUAAUUCGAAGCAACGCGAAGAACCUUACCUAAGCUUGACAUCCCAAUGACAUCUCCUUAAUCGGAGAGUUCCCUUCGGGGACAUUGGUGACAGGUGGUGCAUGGUUGUCGUCAGCUCGUGUCGUGAGAUGUUGGGUUAAGUCCCGCAACGAGCGCAACCCUUGUCUUUAGUUGCCAUCAUUAAGUUGGGCACUCUAGAGAGACUGCCAGGGAUAACCUGGAG